GAUGAAGAACGUAGUGAAAUGCGAUAAGUAAUGUGAAUUGCAGAAUUCAGUGAAUCAUCGAAUCUUUGAACGCACAUUGCGCCCCCUGGUAUUCCGGGGGGCAUGCCUGUCCGAGCGUCAUUACAACCCUCAAGCUCAGCUUGGUGUUGGGCCCCGCCGCCCCGGCGGGCCCUAAAGUCAGUGGCGGUGCCGUCCGGCUCCGAGCGUAGUAAUUCUUCUCGCUCUGGAGGUCCGGUCGUGUGCUCGCCAGCAACCCCCAAUUUUUUUCAGGUUGACCUCGGAUCAGGUAGGGAUACCCGCUGAACUUAAGCAUAUCAAGAAGCGGAGGA
rnacentral:misc_RNA from 1 species